CAUUACCUUACUUAUGUCACACUCUGCUGUGUUUCUCAGGCUGACUCUCACUCACCUCCCUGCCACACCUCCUAAUCAGCGCUGAUGAGGAGGUGUGGCAGGGAGGUGAGUGAGAGUCAGCCUGAGAAACACAGCAGAGUGUGACAACUUACUGU